AUUGAACGCUGGCGGAAUGCUUUACACAUGCAAGUCGAACGGCAGCACGGACUUCGGUCUGGUGGCGAGUGGCGAACGGGUGAGUAAUACAUCGGAACGUGCCCAAUCGUGGGGGAUAACGUAGCGAAAGCUACGCUAAUACCGCAUACGAUCUAAGGAUGAAAGCGGGGGAUCGCAAGACCUCGCGCGAUUGGAGCGGCCGAUGGCAGAUUAGGUAGUUGGUGGGGUAAAGGCUCACCAAGCCGACGAUCUGUAGCUGGUCUGAGAGGACGACCAGCCACACUGGGACUGAGACACGGCCCAGACUCCUACGGGAGGCAGCAAUGGGGAAUUUUGGACAAUGGGCGAAAGCCUGAUCCAGCCAUUCCGCGUGCAGGAUGAAGGCCCUCGGGUUGUAAACUGCUUUUGUACGGAACGAAAAGGCUCUGGUUAAUACCUGGGGCUCAUGACGGUACCGUAAGAAUAAGCACCGGCUAACUACGUGCCAGCAGCCGCCGUAAAAC
rnacentral:rRNA from 1 species